rnacentral:rRNA from 1 species
AUUGAACGCUGGCGGCAUGCCUUACACAUGCAAGUCGAACGGCAGCGCGGGAGCAAUCCUGGCGGCGAGUGGCGAACGGGUGAGUAAUAUAUCGGAACGUGCCCAUUAGUGGGGGAUAGCCCGGCGAAAGCCGGAUUAAUACCGCAUACGACCUGAGGGUGACAGCGGGGGAUCGCAAGACCUCGCGAUAUUGGAGCGGCCGAUAUCAGAUUAGCUAGUUGGUGGGGUAAAGGCCUACCAAGGCAACGAUCUAUAGGUGGUCGUGAGAGGACGACCAGCCACACUGGGACUGAGACACGGCCCAGACUCCUACGGGAGGCAGCAGUGGGGAAUUUUGGACAAUGGGCGCAAGCCUGAUCCAGCAAUGCCGCGUGCAGGAAGAAGGCCUUCGGGUUGUAAACUGCUUUUGUCAGGGAAGAAAUCCUUUGGGCUAAUACCUCGGAGGGAUGACGGUACCUGAAGAAUAAGCACCGGCUAACUACGUGCCAGCCGCCGCGGUAA